rnacentral:rRNA from 1 species
AACACAUGCAAGUCGAACGGGCGUAGCAAUACGUCAGUGGCUGACGGGUGAGUAACACGUGGGAACGUACCUCUUGGUUCGGAACAACACAGGGAAACUUGUGCUAAUACCGGAUAAGCCCUUACGGGGAAAGAUUUAUCGCCGAGAGAUCGGCCCGCGUCUGAUUAGCUAGUUGGUAGGGUAAUGGCCUACCAAGGCGACGAUCAGUAGCUGGUCUGAGAGGAUGAUCAGCCACAUUGGGACUGAGACACGGCCCAAACUCCUACGGGAGGCAGCAGUGGGGAAUAUUGGACAAUGGGGGCAACCCUGAUCCAGCCAUGCCGCGUGAGUGAUGAAGGCCCUAGGGUUGUAAAGCUCUUUUGUGCGGGAAGAUAAUGACGGUACCGCAAGAAUAAGCCCCGGCUAACUUCGUGCCAGCCGCCGCGGUAAUUC